UACGUAGGGGGCAAGCGUUAUCCGGAAUCACUGGGCGUAAAGGGUGCGUAGGCGGUCUGACAAGUCAGAGGUGAAAGGCAAUGGCUCAACCAUUGUAAGCCUUUGAAACUGUUAGACUUGAGUGCAGGAGAGGUAAGUGGAAUUCCUAGUGUAGAGGUGAAAUUCGUAGAUAUUAGGAGGAACACCAGUGGCGAAGGCGACUUACUGGACUGUAACUGACGCUGAGGCACGAAAGCGUGGGGAGCGAACAGG
rnacentral:rRNA from 1 species